CAUUGAUGCACCGGAUCCCUUACGAUGAACGAUGUUAAGCAAUGUUGAACCUGGUCAGUACCAAGAUGGGUGACCGCUUGGUAAUAUCAGGUGCUGUAAG